GAGCUGCUAGUGAGCCUGCGGGGGAUGGGGGUUGCUGUGCUAUGUAUCUCUCUGCCUGCAGGAUGACCUGCUGUAAGAUCACUCCUAACUAUCUCUCGACCAACUUUGAUGCACCAAUCUGCGAUUAAUCCGUCUCAGCUAACACUCAGCAACUUUGUGGAGAUACCUGGAGCUGAAGCGAGACGAGAGAUGAGGCAGCAGCAGCUCUGCCCCAGUUCUACAGUCAGACACUGCUUUGCAGAGCUGAGGGCGGGACCGCACCAAGGCAUACACCAUUACACCGUUUUCUUAAUAAAAAAAGAAAAACAAACAAGGACACCGGCUCCAAAUCCUGGAGGGAUUACUGGCAGAGGAUGUCCAUUUGCUGCUCACUGUUCUAUAUGGUUGUGUUAUCUGUGUAGAUGCUUUAGGGCUCCAUUCCUAAUAUUGAAUGAGGUGAAGGAUUUGCACUGAUCCACGGGAACCAAAUCCACAUAAUCUUUAUCUUUAUAGUGCAAAUUCCACAAUAGAAAUAGAAAGUGUUUGAUUGGUUUAGUGGUGUUUUCACAUUAGAAAUGGGCCCCGGUAUGAGGAUUGAGAGCCACAUUAAUCUGUAUGUUAUAACUAAAGAACCAAAUAUUUGUGCACUGGCAUACCACAUCCAUGUUUUUAAGCUCUUGCUGCAUAUUAUAGUGGGUACUGCUUUCCAUUUCACACAAUUUAGCAGCAGGGUGCAGAUUUAAGACAGUGGAUGUCCUUUCUUAUGUUUUCCAUACAAUAUUUAUUCAGAAAGUAACGUCACUAUUUCCUAACCUUAAUUUCAAGUAGUAGAUUUACAUUUAUAUUAUGUGUACUUGGUCCUGCUUUAUUCUGCAGCAGAAAUGGAGAGGGAUUUGCUACAGCAUAUAUAUUGUCUUCUGUGUGACUACUGCAGGCUGCUUAAAUUGAUUCUGGGCUUGGUGCACGUUCCUAUGUGGGGUUAUUUCCAUCUUCUGGAUGGGGCACCCUUCUGAACUUUCCCCUUGGUUCCAAAGCUGUGCGUGUACACUCCAAUUUUACGUGCUUUCUUAGGCUGUGUAAUUUGUGCAAACGGAGUUUCUUUUUUAGGGGGUUCUGUGGUUGCUGGAGGCACAACUACCGGAUUCUCCUCAAUCUUCCUCCAUUUUUUUUUGCCUGGUGCUUUCAUCUCUGACUCAUGAGCAUGGAACUCUGGAGAUAUUUUCCUUUUAGAAGGUGAAGAAACCACAGACACGCGGAACCAGUUCUAUGAAUACACAGUAUCAAAAGCUGGAUUAUUCUGCAGCAAACAUUUCCCAUGAUUUUUCAUGCCAACAUGCCUUCCAAACCCUUAGUGACAAAACCAUCUCAUCUUUUUACCCAAUUUCUCAGUAACCCUGAUUCUUCAGUAAGCCCAACUCAACUCCUAGCAGCGCACAUUAUGCCCCAUUAUAUGUAUAAAGCUGUAAUAAAGUUUUCAUGCAGUGCAAAUUCUAUAUUGCACACCUAUUUUUA